rnacentral:rRNA from 1 species
UAACUGGAGAGUUUGAUCCUGGCUCAGAAUGAACGCUGGCGGCGUGCUUAACACAUGCAAGUCGCACGAGAACUCUUUAGCUUGCUAAAGAUAGUAAAGUGGCGCACGGGUGAGUAACGCGUGGGUAAUCUGCCUUCAAGCCCGGAAUAACUCCGCGAAAGCGGUGCUAAUACCGGAUGACAUCCCGGGGACCCCGGUCCCCGGGACCAAAGGUGGCCUCUCCAUGGAAGCUACCGUUUGAAGAGGAGCCCGCGUACCAUUAGCUUGUUGGUAGGGUAACGGCCUACCAAGGCGACGAUGGUUAGCUGGUCUGAGAGGAUGAUCAGCCACACUGGAACUGACACACGGUCCAGACUCCUACGGGAGGCAGCAGUGAGGAAUUUUGCGCAAUGGGGGAAACCCUGACGC